UUUUUAUAUCUUCCUGGAGGAGCUUGCUAUCUAACCGAUAAUCCACGUUAUACCUUACCAAUCUUAGCCAAUUCCAACUUGUAUACCAUCGUCGUCAGCUUACCCUGCAAAGGCAAAGUUCUCUUAACCAAUAUACACUUUAAAACGCCAGAUCGAGGUGCAGUUCAUAGAUUGGUGAUACGUGAGCUACAAUAAUUUUACAACUCCACAAAAAUAACUAUGGAUACUACAUGAAAAACUAAAUUUAAAUAGAAUUCAGAAGUAAUGAAAAUAAAAGAAACUUUUCAUGAAAACUUCCAGCUCUAAAAUGCGC
rnacentral:rRNA from 1 species